UGAUUGCAGAUUUUCGUGAUCAUCGAAUCUUUGAACGCACAUUGCGCCCUCUGGUAUUCCAGAGGGCAUGCCUGUUUGAGCGUCAUUUCUCUCUCAAACCUUCGGGUUUGGUAUUGAGUGAUACUCUUAGUUGAACUAGGCGUUUGCUUGAAAUGUAUUGGCAUGAGUGGUACUGGAUAGUGCUAUAUGACUUUCAAUGUAUUAGGUUUAUCCAACUCGUUGAAUAGUUUAAUGGUAUAUUUCUCGGUAUUCUAGGCUCGGCCUUACAAUAUAACAAACAAGUUUGACCUCAAAUCAGGUAGGAUUACCCGCUGAACUUAAGCAUAUCAAUAAGCGGAGGAAUCUUGCUGA
rnacentral:rRNA from 1 species